rnacentral:misc_RNA from 1 species
AGGGUUGUCGCUGACCCUUCGAAGGGUCGUGCACGCCCAAGUGCUCUCUCUCAAUCCAUCUCACCCCUUUGUGCAUCACCGCGUGGGCCACCUUUUUGGCUUGUUUCAAAGAGGUUGGGUCCGGGUUUUAACACUGCCUUUAUGUAUAGAAUGGCUUAAUUUUUGGGGUCACACGCCAUAAAUAAAUACAACUUUUCACAACGGAACUCUUGGGUCUCCGAUCCAUGAAAAACGCACCCAAAUGGCAAACCUAAUGGGAAUUGGCAAAAUUCAUGGAAUCUCCAAACCUUUAAAGCCCCUUGGGCCCCUUGGCAAUYCCAAGGGGAACCCCCGUUUAA